ACACACACACACACACACACACACAGGUUCAGUAUAAGGAGGAGAAUCAGAGGAGCAGUGAGCAGGAGGAGGAGGAGCUCAUUCCACUGUGGAACAGACACUUGACCUGGUUUCUGGGACAAAAACAGCCUGAGAAACACUCCUACUGGGAAGGAAUCAGAUAAAAGAUUUAAAACGGGAGGCCAAGAAGAACCACACUGCAGACGGGCGCUAAGAGAAGGUCUACCUGGAGAGGUGAAAAGGAACUUUUUGGGGGUGAAGAAUAAACUUCUGCGUUUUUGCAUCUCAAAUAAAAAGAACAAAAAAGGUGACGAAAGACCCAGCCCACGUGGUCCCAGUAGGACGUGUUGUUACAACUGGAGUAUUGGUUCAACUGCAGAUACCACAUCACACCAGCAGGUGGUAGUGUUGUAUCAUUUUGUGGGAUUUAAACUAAUGUUUUUAAAUUGAAAGCCAAAAAAAUUCAAUUAUUCAAAUAACUUAUUUCCUGUAUUUUUUAAUGGGAUGAAUGCCAGAACAAUGUCAGACAGCGAUGACGGCACAAAAUGGCUUGCAGUUGAUAGACGGAAGCAUCCGAAAUCUAAAUGUGCAACACUUCUAAAAGGUCUUUACCUGGCCAGGCCGUGUGGGGCAUAUGAUGUAACGGCAGUAUGGGAGUUGUCUUAGUUAUGUAUCACUUAAAGCCCGCUUUUGAAAAUAUUAACCUACCAGUUCACAAGGAAGCAAGUAAAUUCUGCCGGGCCGCUUGAGGAGCGAGGUAGCCACCAGCAAUUCACACACGGAGGUCUGGUGUGAGCCGGGGAGCAGCGGUGAAGAAGAUGAAGAACCUUUCUACAUAGCGACUCUCAAGAUAAAAAAUCAUGGGGUUCUACAUGAGAACUAUAACUUAAAAAUAAAAAAAUGGUUUAAAAAAUAGGAAACUAAGGAAAGUAAAAGUUGAGUAAUACUUCAUAAUAAUGUUCAGUUGUUAAAUAUAAGUCAUUAGUAAGUCAUUAAUCAUACAAGGUCUUAGAUAAUGAUGAACAAAUCAUUUAUAAAAUAGUGUGAUGACAUUUACAAAUACAUUUAUAAGUGUUUAGUUAUUAACAGAUCAUUUACAAGGUAUUAGGUAAUAUAUAUAAUUUAUUUAUGAAGACUUGAGUUGACAUUUACAAAUGAUAAACUAAACAUUUACAUACAGUCUUUAACACAUUUGGUAAUGUUCAUAGAACACUUGUAACUUUCUAAAGUCACAGAAGUGCCAUUAGUCAUAUAAAAGAUUAAGACGCACCAGUCAUUUAUAAAUGAUUAACUAAACAUUUUUAAAUGAUCAUGAACUCAUUUGAUUUUUAAAAUGUAAUUUGGUGAAAGGUAAAUAAAGUCCAGACAUUUAUAAACUCUUUCAGGUUAUUUACUUAUUUUUUACUUUCUUUGAAUACAAGAGGGACUCUACAACUCGUUUAUAAACCAUUAGUUUGUCAAAGAAAGUGAAUGUAUGAAGGUUUGGACCCUUUGUGGGAAAUCCCUGAUCUGAGCCCUUCAGCCAUAGAAGAUCUACCAGGAAACAUCUGACAGAUGAACAGGCCCGUUCCAUCCUGUGUCAGAUUUCUAUCUGAUGAUCAGACACCAGAACUGAUCAGCAUCUACAAGCUCUUCACUGUAAACCUCCUGAUUCUCACCUGUCCCAGAUCACGUCAUUGUUAAAUGUUCUGCAACACCUCGUUACUUAGAAAUGUUUAACAAUCAUUUUUAGGCUUAAAAACAUGAAUAAAUGACAUUUGUACAUCUACAA